rnacentral:rRNA from 1 species
GACGAACGCUGGCGGCGUGCUUAACACAUGCAAGUCGAACGGUGAAGCGCCUUCCUUUUUGGUGGGUGUGGAUGAGUGGCGAACGGGUGAGUAACACGUGAGUAACCUGCCCCCUUCUUCUGGAUAACCGCAUGAAAGUGUGGCUAAUACGGGAUAUUCUGGGUCUGUCGCAUGAUGGGUCUGGGAAAGAUAUUGUUUCGGUGGGGGAUGGGCUCGCGGCCUAUCAGCUUGUUGGUGGGGUGAUGGCCUACCAAGGCGGUGACGGGUAGCCGGCCUGAGAGGGUGGACGGUCACACUGGGACGGAGACACGGCCCAGACUCCUACGGGAGGCAGCAGUGGGGAAUAUUGCACAAUGGGCGCAAGCCUGAUGCAGCGACGCCGCGUGAGGGAUGGAGGCCUUCGGGUUGUGAACCUCUUUCGCCAGUGAAGCAGGCCUGCCUCGUUUGUGGGUGGGUUGACGGUAGCUGGAUAAGAAGCGCCGGCUAACUACGUG